GGGGGAACUGGUUGUGUAGGCGCACACACACUGGAACGGCUGCUAAUACCCGAUAUGCCGAAAGGUGAAAAGUUGUUUCGCCUGGAGAGGAGCUCGCGUCCGAUUAGCUAGUUGGUGAGGUAAAAGCUUACCAAGGCGACGAUCGGUAGCUGGUCUGAGAGGAUGAGCAGCCACACUGGAACUGAGACACGGUCCAGACUCCUACGGGAGGCAGCAGUGGGGAAUUUUCCGCAAUGGGCGAAAGCCUGACGGAGCAACGCCGCGUGGGGGAAGAAGGUUUUUGGAUUGUAAACCCCUUUUCUCAAGGAAGAACAAAAUGACGGUACUUGAGGAAUCAGCCUCGGCUAACUCCGUGCCAGCAGCCGCGGUAAUACGGAGGAGGCAAGCGUUAUCCGGAAUUAUUGGGCGUAAAGCGUUCGUAGGCGGCUGUUCAAGUCUGCUGUCAAAGACCGAGGCUCAACCUCGGGUCGGCAGUGGAAACUGAAUAGCUAGAGGUCGGUAGGGGCAGAGGGAAUUCCCAGUGUAGCGGUGAAAUGCGUAGAUAUUGGGAAGAACACCGGUGGCGAAAGCGCUCUGCUGGGCCGAACCUGACGCUGAGGGACGAAAGCUAGGGGAGCGAAUGGGAUUAGAUACCCCAAGUAGUCAA
rnacentral:rRNA from 1 species